rfam:Homo sapiens chromosome 10, GRCh38 reference primary assembly.
UUUGUGCUAUAAGUAUAUCCCAUGCAAUAUUUGGGAUAUACUUAUACUAAAA